AGAGUUUGAUCCUGGCUCAGAACGAACGCUGGCGGCGUGGAUUAGGCAUGCAAGUCGAACGAUCCCGCAAGGGAUAGUGGCGAAAGGGUGCGUAACACGUGGGCAAUCUGCCCCCGAAACGGGAAUAACUUCGGGGAACCGAAGCUAAUACCUGAUGACACCGAGCUGCCGCAUGGUGGCACGGUGAAAGGCGUCCGCAAGGGUGCCGAUCGGGGAUGAGCCCGCGGCCUAUCAGCUAGUUGGUGAGGUAACGGCCCACCAAGGCGAUGACGGGUAGCCGGCCUGAGAGGGUGGUCGGCCACAUUGGGACUGAGACACUGCCCAGACUCCUACGGGAGGCUGCAGUCGAGGAUCUUCCGCAAUGGGGGAAACCCUGACGGAGCGACGCCGCGUGGAGGAUGAAGGCCUUCGGGUCGUAAGCUCCUGUCAGUCUGGAAGAAAAUCUGCAGCAAUGUGGAUUGACCGUACAGGCAGAGGAAGCUCCGGCUAACUCCGUGCCAGCAGCCGCGGUAAUACGGAGGGAGCGAGCGUUGUUCGGAAUCAUUGGGCGUAAAGGGCAUGUAGGCGGCUCUGUAAGUCGGGUGUGAAAUCCCAUCUCUCAAGGGUGGAACGGCAUUCGAAACUGCAGGGCUUGAGUUCGGGGGAAGAGAGCGGAAUUCUCGGUGUAGCGGUGAUAUGCGUAGAUAUCGAGAAGAACACCAGCGGCGUAAGCGGCUCUCUAUCCUGAAACUGACGCUGAGGUGCGAAAGCCAGGGGAGCGAACGGGAUUAGAUACCCCGGUAGUCCUGGCCAUAAACGAUGUGCACUUGGUGUUGGGCCGCGAGGCUCAGUGCCGAAGCUAACGCAUUAAGUGCACCGCCUGGGGAGUACGACCGCAAGGUUGAAACUCAAAGGAAUUGACGG
rnacentral:rRNA from 1 species